CGACAAUCUGUUACCUUUAUGGUCUUUGCAAGUUUGGCGUUGUUACCUUUAUUUCUCUCUCCUCUGUUUUUAUUCCGACAAUCUGUUGCCCCAAUUAUCUAUAAUAUGCAAUCCAAUUUUUCCCUUUGUUGCUGAAUCAAAGAUGUAUAUAACUUCGAGCUAAUGAAUUUGGGCACAAAAAUCACUUGAUUUGGAGUUCGGAGCUAUGAGUUAUGGUCCUUGUAAGUUUGGUGUUGCUACCUUCAUUUCUCUCUCCUCUGUUUUUAUUCCGACAAUCUGUUUCCUCAAUUAUCUACAACAUGCAAUCUAAUUUUGCUCUUUGUUUCUGAAUCAAAGUUGUAGAUCACUUCGAGCUAAUGAAUUUGGGCACAAAAAUCGCUCAAUUCGGAGUUCGGAGCUAUGAGUUACACCUUACACAAGUUCAGCACUGCUGCUGUACUUUGUGUUGCGCUGCUGUCAUGGUUGGCUUGUUUGCCCAUGUUGUCAUUGCCAACUUAUUUGCCUUAGCUUGUUGCUGCCAUUGUUUUGGUAUUCCUUUCCAUAUGAAGGUCAUUGUUGGAGUAUGUAUAUGGAGAUAAAUUAUGAAGUUCGAGCUAUAGUUGGUUAUCUAGAAUGUCGAAUUAUUGGGAAUUCUUUCAAGGGUUCAUUGUUAGUGAUUUUGCAGGGUUGAUGUCAAGGUCUUGGAAUAUGAUUACUGAUCAAGAAGAAGAUUUUUAUGCUAUGAAAUGUAGCCUGAGGUUAAAGUUAGAUGCUUUGUUUGGAAGUAUUCAUAACCUGUUAUUUGAUUUUCAAGUUGUUAUGUUGUGGGCCCCUGACCCACAGAUCCAGGAUCGUUUUUAUAGGUUUUGUUUCCACUAUGAAUAAAUGUAAAUUCGAGGUUUGUUAAUUGUUGAUUGUGUAUCUUAAGUGUGAUUAGUUAGCAGCUCGAAAGUGCGGGCUGUUACACAUGCCCACUAACUAUUGGAGAUGGAUUGAGUGACCCAAAGAUUGCCAACCUUCUUAGUAUUGAAUUUUCAUUGUUAGGAAUACAUUAAAACAUUAUUUUUAUAUCUCUUCUCUCCUCAUUUAUUACAUACAUGUCAAUAUUUUAUUCUAAUGUGUCUAAGAGUGUUGGCAAUCCUAAGGGUUACUUAAACAUUUUCCCUAACUAAAACUCCCUUCGUCCCAAUUUAGGUUUUCGCUCAUGGUACACCCGCAUGGUACACCAGGGGUAUUUUGUAAUAAAUUAGAACUUCAGGUGCUUAUUUGACACCAAAUUUGCUCAUAUGGGCAUUUUGCUCAUUUACUCAUUUGCUCAUUUUGCUCAUUUUGUAAUAAAAGUGUUUGCUCAUUUUCUUAAAUGAGUAGAAAUGUUUGCUCAUUUGUUCAUUUUACUCAUUUGC